rnacentral:rRNA from 1 species
UACGGAGGGUGCAAGCGUUAAUCGGAAUUACUGGGCGUAAAGCGCGCGUAGGCGGCUUAGUAAGUCGGAUGUGAAAGCCCCGGGCUUAACCUGGGAACUGCAUUCGAUACUGCUGGGCUAGAGUAUGGAAGAGGGAAGUGGAAUUCCGGGUGUAGCGGUGAAAUGCGUAGAUAUCCGGAGGAACACAGUGGCGAAAGGCGACUUCCUGGGCCAAAUACUGACGCUGAGGUGCGAAAGCGUGGGGAGCAAACAGGAUUAGAUACCGUGUAGUCC